rnacentral:rRNA from 1 species
UUCGGGAAUAUUGCGCAAUGGGCGAAAGCCUGACGCAGCAACGCCGCGUGCAGGAAGACGGCCUUCGGGUUGUAAACUGCUUUUGUAUGGGAAGAUAAUGACGGUACCAUGCGAAUAAGGAUCGGCUAACUACGUGCCAGCAGCCGCGGUAAUACGUAGGAUCCAAGCGUUAUCCGGAAUUACUGGGCGUAAAGAGUCUGUAGGCGUCUUGUGUAAGUUUUCGCUUAAAGAUCAGGGCUCAACCCUGGGACUGGCGAGAAUACUACCAGGAUGGAGGUCGGUAGAGGCAAGUGGAACUUGCGGUGUAGCAGUGGAAUGCGUAGAUAUCGCAAAGAACACCAAUGGCGAAGGCAGCUUGCUGGGCCGCACCUGACGCUGAGAGACGAAAGCGUGGGGAGCGAACAG